rnacentral:rRNA from 1 species
GACGAACCUUGCUAACGUUAUUCGGAAUUACUGGGCGUAAAGCGUGCGCAGGCGGUUUUGUAAGACAGAUGUGAAAUGCCCGGGCUUAACCUGGGAACUGCAUUUGUGACUGCAAGGCUAGAGUGUGUCAGAGGGGGGUAGAAUUCCACGUGUAGCAGUGAAAUGCGUAGAUAUGUGGAGGAAUACCGAUGGCGAAGGCAGCCCCCUGGGAUAACACUGACGCUCAUGCACGAAAGCGUGGGGAGCAAACAGG